rnacentral:rRNA from 1 species
AUGGAAUGGAUAAGCGCUGAAAGCAUCUAAGCGCGAAGCCAACCUCAAGAUAAGAUUUCCCACCGUAAGGGUAAGACCCCAGGAAGACUACCUGGUUGAUAGGUCCAAGGUGUAAGCUCAGUAAUGAGUUCAGCUUAUGGAUACUAAUAGGUCGAGGACUUGACCU